UUAUCAAUAAAUACUAAGGGAACUCAGAGACCGGUGCCGGCGUGGGUCCUCUGUAAGCUGAGCGCCGGUCCCCUGGGUCCCCACUUUUCUUUCUCUAUACUUUGUCUCUGUGUCUUAUUUCUUUUCUCAAGUCUUUGUCUCUGUGUCUCAUUUCUUUUCUCAAGUCUCUCGUUCCACCUAACGAGAAAUGCCCACAGGUGUGGAGGGGCAGGCCACCCCUUCAACACAAAGCCUGUUUGGUGGUCUCUUCACAGGGACAAGCGUGACAGGGGCCACAUGGCCUCUGUUGCAAUGAGUCAUCCCUGCUGUGAGCCUGAAAGUAGCCAUAGGCAAUAUGCAAAUGAAUAUUCUCCUUAUGUUACACUAACACUUCACUUAAUUAACAUAGGUGGUGGGCCAGUUUGGGCCCAUGGAUCACGGUUCAUGGAGUCUUGUUCUAGAGAAGUUCUCAAGCCCUGUGUCCCUACAAAUCUCCUGGGAGGCUUAUUAAAACAGAUUUCUGGAUCCCACCCCCAGAGCUUCUGAUUCCAUUGGUCUGAAUCAUAAUAGGGCCUGGGAAUGUGCAUUUGGAUUCCCAGUGACAACGUAGCUGAGGACUCCCAGCUUGCUUCAUUUGCAUUCACCUUUCUUGGUAACUUAGUGCUUAGGCUUUCCCCAAAGCCAUGACAGGUGUUGAUGGCAGGUGUGGCUGUUCGAUCAGUGUACGUAUGUAACUACCUGAGCUAGUUCCCAGAUUUGACUGCCUGUACCCUGUCCCUUCCUCGUUUCUCUGUACAGCUACAGCGUCUCCUCACUGAUCUUCCUGCCCAGAUGGAUCCAAAUGCCCUUGACUGGUCUCAUAACAUGCUGGGUAGGUUAAGGAACAAUAUUCCCUCCCCUCUAGGCUCUGAAUUUAUUGAGAAAUGGUCAUAAGAGACAGAAAGGGAUCAGACAUAUCAUUCUUAAGAUAAUAAUCAUUGCAAACACUUGUACAAUACUUAUGAGGGCCAGGCAUUCUUCCAAGGGCUUUACCAGCUCAUUUACACAGUAUGGCAAUUCCAUGAAUUACUGAGGGUGACCAUCACCAUUUUACUGAUGCAGGCAGCAAGGCAUGGAGAGGUGAGUCACUCCUUAGAGUAAGUACAGUUAUGGUUCCCAUUUUGCCAAUGUGCAUGCUCAGGUACAGAGGCAUGAGUGACUUGCCCAAGGCCACACAGGUAGAGCUGGGGGACCUGUCCUGUAGAACUACUGCUGGAUCUCAAGGUCAAAGUUUACUCCCUUGACCUCUGCUCUCAACUACUCUGGUCAGAGGAGACGGAUCUCAGAGGCACAAGCAGGGAGUGCCCUGAAGUUGCUAAAUAAAAGAGAGAAGAAUGCUGUUUCUCCUAGGUAUACAGCCAAGACUCUGUGACCAUACAGUGGAGCUAUGCACUGUGGUGACUUUCCCCACCUAGACAGGUGACGUUCCUUUGUUGGAGGUUUGUUAUUUUUCUUAUAAGCACUGGCAUCCCAUAUUCAGGCAGCAUAUGCUUUUGCAUAGUUUUCAUGGAAUAUUUCUGUAGGCCUCAGGUCAUAAAGUUGAGUAUGGUUUUAACAUCAAACACUUUAUAUCUGGUGUUGAGAAACAGGAUCAAGGCAAAUAGUGGAAGGAGGUUUUCAUCAUCAUGCUGUGAGGUUGGGAGUGGACCCAGGGAAUCGCUGACUCCAUGUGGAAACUGGCCACCUUUGGAGUUCUGCCACAUAUUUAAAAGUCACGCCUGUGAUUUAAAAUUUACUUAUUUUUACUCUUUUGUAACAUGAUUCAAAAAUUCAUGAGAUAAAAAUCAUUUGGCAUUUUAACAGCGCUGUCUGAUUCAUGAGACAUAUUUAUGAUGGAUCUUUCUUGUGCAGUCAUUGCUUCUAAGGAUUUCACAAAUAAAGGAGUGGCUUCCUUGAUGUGAAACUCCUGUGGUGUUGAAGGCUUACAUAGGCAACAACACUGAGCCUCCUCUGGAGCCAGGAUCCUCUGCACGGAGGUGCCUUUCCCAGCUACCGUGACCUGGGUGCCUUCCUCGUAUGCAUGUCCCGGCGGCACUGGGAGUCCUCCAAUGCCUGCUGCUCUGGUCCCUCAGGAUCUCGUCUUGGAGGCGGUGGAUGGAACGCCCUUGAAGGAAUCCCACAGCCCCUGGGCAUCCCCAUUUCAGAGCUCCAUUUCCCGCUGGCCUUUUUUAGUUCCCUUUUGGAUCUCAAAAGGCCUAUGUUUUCUUCUCUUCAUACAGAGUUCACUUUGGGCUAUGUCUCCAUUAAUUCCUAAAUUGUGUCUGAGCUGGAUUGUUAUCCUCCUUUAGCUCCUUGUGCUCAAUCAUCACUGUCCUGCCAGUGUUCUUUCAGUGAUUGUGUGGUUUGAUGCCACAGUUUGGUUUUCCUUUUAUGUUCAAUGUAUUAGAAAGGCCCUGUAUAAGGACCCCAUCUCUGCUGACUCAUUUAUUGAGAUGGAGAAGCUCACUAUGGGCAUGACUAGGAAAGUGUGUGCCAUAUGUGCACUGGCCACUGGGGGCGGUGUGUGCCACUGGGCGCGGUGGGAGAGAAAACAAGGGAGACGAGAGUAGAAUGCACGAAGGACUUUGGAAAAGAAUAGAGACAUAAUUUCUUAAUCAAUGGAGUCUAGAACUUCAGCCUUAAAAAUAGUAAAUCAUAUUUAAAUGUUAUUUAUAUAAGCAAUGAUAAAUAAAGUAACACAAUAUAUCAAAAAUCAUGUAACAGAAAAAACAUUGGGUGCUCUUAGUGGGAGGCAAGGUCCAAUAUAACUUUGACCUGCAAAGUUUAAUAAGCUUUGUGCAUGCAAUUUCCGUUACCCACUAGAAGAUCAUGAGAAUAAGAUUUUGGUUGCUGUUUUAUUUUGUUUAUUUUUAUUCAGUUGCUUUGUUUGUUUGAAGUGUGACAUGAAAAUGUUAAGUGUUUUGAGUGCUGCAUCUUGCCAAGGGCUUAGCUACAGCAAGGUCAAACCAAAGUAGGCUUGUCCACAAGAAUAAGAAAGGAGCUUGGUGACCCAUAGAACAUUGAUGUACAAAGGUGUGGCAUUAGAGGCCACAGACGGGGGGAACCAAGUCCAUUGGAGACUGGAUGCAGUGUAUGGUUCUAUAAGACAUCAGGGUCAAGUAAGGGGGGCAUAUGGAUCAAGCUCUGCAGAGAAAUAAAACCAAUAGGAGAUAAAUAUAUACAGAUACACACACACACACGCACACACACACACCCCUUACUGGUGGAGGGUGUCCAAGUUCUUGGCAUCUUGAACAAAGAAUUGAAAAAAAUGCACAAAAAGCAGGAAAAGAAUGAAGCAACAAAAGCACAAAUUUAUUGAAAAUGAAAGUACACGCCAUGCAAUGGGAGCAGUCCAGGCAAGG
ensembl:lncRNA